UGGGGUGUAGCUCAGUGGUGGAUCACUGGCCUCGCAGGCAUGGGGCCUUGGGUUCAAUCCCCAGCAUCUCAA
rnacentral:tRNA from 1 species